GCACUUGCACCAGCAGCUCACAUACUAAAAUUGAAGUUAUAUAGAGACUAGCAUGGUCUCUACUCAAGGAUGGCAUACACUUUUGUGAAGCUUUCCAUAUAUUU